UGGGGAAUAUUGCACAAUGGGCGCAAGCCUGAUGCAGCCAUGCCGCGUGUGUGAAGAAGGCCUUCGGGUUGUAAAGCACUUUCAGCGGGGAGGAAGGCGAUAAGGUUAAUAACCUUGUCGAUUGACGUUACCGACAGAAGAAGCACCGGCUAACUCCGUGCCAGCAGCCGCGGUAAUACGGGGGGUGCAAGCGUUAAUCGGAAUUACUGGGCGUAAAGCGCACGCAGGCGGUUGAUUGAGUCAGAUGUGAAAUCCCCGGGCUUAACCCGGGAAUUGCAUCUGAUACUGGUCAGCUAGAGUCUUGUAGAGGGGGGUAGAAUUCCAUGUGUAGCGGUGAAAUGCGUAGAGAUGUGGAGGAAUACCGGUGGCGAAGGUGGCCCCCUGGACAAAGACUGACGCUCAGGUGCGAAAGCGUGGGGAGCAAACAGG
rnacentral:rRNA from 1 species